UGAACUGAGGACCUCAUACAUGGAAGAAUAAGUGCUCUACUGCUGAGCUACAUCCCCAUUCGAUGUAGAAGAUCUCAGGCAUUGGCCUUCCCACUUCAGCCCCUGAUGUUCAGUGCACACUCCACCAAAAGACUUCAUCUAACAUCUAAGACUAGCAAUCUGUGAUAUGCAUAUGCUACAAGCUGGCUUGGGGAGAAGAAUGGACUGUGCCUUCAAGCUGUGAAUCAAAACCUCUUCUUUCCUCAAGUUCUUUUUGUUGAGUAUUUUGUUGCCGUAAUGAGAAAAACAACAGGUACAAUACUUGACAGGAUAAUAGCCAGAUCAUUGCCAACAUGAGUCAGGCAGCAAAUCAUCCAUCCAGGAAAUUCAGAGGGCACUGAAAAGAUAAAUCACAGAAAUCUAAAACCAAGGAUGCC